GAAGAGCCGCGGCAAGAUGAGGGUGUUUAUAGCCCUAUCUUAUCCAUAUGGACAGGCGCUCCCCAUGCAUCCGUUUAUAGGCUUUCCACAAGGGUCGCAUUCCAUUCCCAGAGCUAUGAACAUCUGCUUUUCUGGGAUAGGAAUCUUGGUGAUGUGAAACCUCCCUGACUGCACGUCCAUUCAUAGGCUUUCUGCAGGGGGAAGCACAUCACACGCUGUUGGCUCAUUCUGGCAGUCCAACCUGGCAUUGUCUUUACACAAUCCUGCAUGCAACUUUUUAUUUACAGUAAUCAGGAGCAGUUCAUCUUUUAUUCCGUAGCAAUAGUUUCAGGGGGUCUCCCUACAAGCAGUCUUUCUCCAGCCAGGAUACCACGCAAUGUUUUAAGUUUCUUUAUUCUUAUGUACUAUGACAUUACAGAACUGUCUUGAAAUUUUGGUGUGAUUUUGCUGACCUACCUUCUGAGAGUAAGAUGCGACCAGACAGCUGACACUCCCAAUACUGGUUCAAAUACCCUGUUCUCUUGCAUUCUGAAGAUGCUCGUCACUCCUGUGGAUUGAUGCAGGGAAAUGGAUACAAACAUGGGAUGGACCUUGGUCAUCGACGUGCUCCAGAUGUCUCAGUUGCAAACGCCUGGACAAUGAGGAUGUUAGCUGAGAAGAGGGAGUCCUGAAAUGCCAGUUAACCCAGCAGAAGUUGAUAAGCUCACUCACAGCCAGGGACAUGGUUUCCCAGGUAUACAGUUCUAUUGUAAAGGAGGCGAUGGGUUUCUUCUCCUCUGCCGACCCACUGAAUUUUAUAAGAAAAGCCAGUGGGCUCCCAGACAAAGUUAAAAAGACCCCAAAUUCCAGCAACCAGUUUGAAGACCCCCAUAGAGGAACAGGAUGAGUAUGAGAUCACGGCUUCUUCCUCUCCAUUUCAUGACUUCACGCUUCACCCUGCGCUCUUCAACCAAUCGAUAAUCGCCACACUUUGGCCCACUCCAAAACCCUUAAAAACCCUAGCCCCAAACUCCUUGGGGAGAUAUAUUUGAGGUUCCCUCCCAUCUCCUUGUUCAGUGACCCUCUGAUUAAACCUCUGACUCUGCUG
rnacentral:lncRNA from 10 species